GGGCUGGAGCCUGGCUUCCUUAGAGGAAAUGCAGUGGGUUCUGGGAAGCAUAGGCAGCCUCUGUUACAACAUCUCCCCCAGGGCUCCCUGCAAGCCCCACCAGCUCCCCACAGCCAGGGCCUUUGGAAGAGGUCCCCUCCUCCUGCUCUUAGUGGAUGCAGUACUACUUAUAAUUUUACACCAGAAUUGGUUCUGUCUCAAGCCAAGCUCCCACCCCCUCACUGACAGAAAAGAGUCAGCACCCACCACAAGCAAAGGACAAGGGCCUGUGUGACCCCCAGCCUGGUCAUGGCCUGGUUCCCUCCCCCUCUGCCCCAGAUGCUCUUCAGUUCAUGGAAGAAGACACCUCUUUCUACCUCCAGCAGCCUGCCUGCACCCUACCACAUAAGCCAAGGGAUGGUACACACCAACAACAAGCUUCUGGGGUGCAUGCAUGCUUAGAACUUCUCUUGGCAAAGGCUGGCCACCCCACGGCAGUGCAGACUGUCACAGAAGAGAUGCAUGCAGCACAUAUCCCUCCUGAUGCAACAACUACUAGACUAAGAAACUGAGCCCAGGUAGGCUGCCUGCUGUUUGCAGAGACCAGCCCCUGGGCUUACACAGCCCAAAAGCACUUC